GGCUCAGAUUGAACGCUGGCGGCAUGCCUUACACAUGCAAGUCGAACGGUAAUCAGGUUAAGCUGACGAGUGGCGAACGGGUGAGUAAUAUAUCGGAACGUGCCCAGUAGUGGGGGAUAGCCCGGCGAAAGCCGGAUUAAUACCGCAUACGACCUACGGGUGAAAGCGGGGGAUCGCAAGACCUCGCGCUAUUGGAGCGGCCGAUAUCAGAUUAGCUAGUUGGUGGGGUAAAAGCUCACCAAGGCGACGAUCUGUAGCUGGUCUGAGAGGACGACCAGCCACACUGGGACUGAGACACGGCCCAGACUCCUACGGGAGGCAGCAGUGGGGAAUUUUGGACAAUGGACGCAAGUCUGAUCCAACCAUGCCGCGUGCGGGAAGAAGGCCUUCGGGUUGUAAA
rnacentral:rRNA from 2 species